rnacentral:rRNA from 1 species
CCUACGGGGUGCUGCAGUGGGGAAUAUUGGACAAUGGGCGAAAGCCUGAUCCAGCCAUGCCGCGUGUGUGAAGAAGGCCUUCGGGUUGUAAAGCACUUUCAGUGGGGAAGAAAGCCUUGGGGCUAAUACCCUCGAGGAAGGACAUCACCCACAGAAGAAGCACCGGCUAACUCCGUGCCAGCAGCCGCGGUAAUACGGAGGGUGCGAGCGUUAAUCGGAAUUACUGGGCGUAAAGCGCGCGUAGGCGGUCUGAUAAGCCGGUUGUGAAAGCCCCGGGCUCAACCUGGGAACGGCAUCCGGAACUGUCAGGCUAGAGUGCAGUAGAGGAAGGUAGAAUUCCCGGUGUAGCGGUGAAAUGCGUAGAGAUCGGGAGGAAUACCAGUGGCGAAGGCGGCCUUCUGGACUGACACUGACGCUGAGGUGCGAAAGCGUGGGUAGCAAACAGGAUUAGAUACCCCGGUAGUC